ACGCUCGCUUCAGUGGCACAUAUACUAAAAUUGGAACGAUACAGAGAUGAUUAUUAUGGCCCCUGAGCAAGGAUGGCACACAAAUUGCAUGAAGUGUUCCAUAUUUUU
ensembl:snRNA U6 U6 spliceosomal RNA